GUUAGUGUAGUUUAAUGGUUUGAAUGUUAGACUACGAUUCUGGAGGCCAGGGUUUGAAUCCCAGCUUGGCCA